AGCUUGUUGGUAGAGUAAAAGCCUACCAAGGCUAUGACGGGUAGCGGGUGUGAGAGCAUGACCCGCCUCAAUGGGACUGAGACACUGCCCAUACUCCUACGGGAGGCUGCAGUCGAGAAUCUUCCCCAAUGGACGAAAGUCUGAGGGAGCGACGCCGCGUGAAUGAAGACGCCCUUCGGGGUGUAAAAUUCUUUUCUCAGGGAGGAACUAAUGACGUUACCUGAGGAACAAGAGGCUGCUAACCUCGUGCCAGCAGCAGCGGUAAUACGAGGGCCUCGAGCGUUAUCCGGAAUCAUUGGGCGUAAAGCGUCUGUAGGCGGUUUAUUAAGUUAGAUGUUAAAUUUUAGGGCUCAACCCUGAAGCUGCAUCUAAUACUAUUAAACUAGAGAAUGGGAGAGGUAUGUGGAAUUGCCGGUGUAGUAGUCAAAUGCGUUAAUAUCGGUAGGAACACCAAAUGCGAAGGCAUCAUACUGGAACAUUUCUGACGCUGAGAGACGAAAGCGUGGGUAGCGAAUGGGAUUAGAUACCCCAGUAGUCCACGCCGUAAACGAUGGACACUAGGCAUUGGAAGUAUCGACCCUUUCAGUGUCGUUUAAAAAAGUUAACACGUUAAGUGUCCCGCCUGGGGAGUACGGCCGCAAGGCUAAAACCUAAAGGAAUUGACGGGAACCCGCACAAGCAGUGGAGCACGUGGUUUAAUUCGAAGAUAAGCGAGGAACCUUACCAGGGCUCGAACCCUAGUUGCAAAGCCUAUGAAAGUAGGAAUCCUUAGAGGGUACUGGGGAGAUGUUGCAUGGUCGUCGUCAGCUCGUGGCGUGAGCUGUACGGUUAAGUCCGGUAACGAGCGCAACCCUUGUUCUGUGUUAUAUAUUUCGCAGAAGACUGCCCCGCAUAACGGGGAGGAAGGUGAGGAUGACGUCAGAUCAGCAUGACUCUUACGUCCUGGGCCACACGCGUGCUACAAUGGUUAACACAAUGGGAAGCUAAGCCGCAAGGUGGAGCAAAUCCCAUUCAAAAUUGAUCUCAGUUCGGAUUGUGGGCUGAAACUCGCCCACAUGAAGCUGGAAUUGCUAGUAAUCGCGAAUCAGCUAUGUCGCGGUGAAUACGUUCUCGGGUUUUGUACACACCGCCCGUCAUGCCAAGAGAGUCGGUAAUGCCCGAACGGCGUUGUUUCUUUAACGCCGGAAGGCAGGAUCGAUGAUAGGGGUAAAGUCGUAACAAGGCACCCGUAGCGGAAGCUGUGGGUG
rnacentral:rRNA from 1 species